CUUCACCGCCAAGAUUUUGAAGACAUCCAAGUUCCAUUUUUUUUUCUUUUUCCUUCUUCAAUUUGCAGAGAACUUCUAAGAGAGAGUUUGGAAGAAGAAGAGAAAUUUUACUAGAAUUUUUAGGUUGAAGAAGAGGAGGAGAACUCAAGCAAAGUGUAUCAAUGGCUGAAUUUUAGUUCAUUCUGCACAUCACUGGUUUUUAAUUCGUUUUGAACUCUUCAAAAGGAAUUAAGAGGUGAGAUUUACAUUUACUGAAAGUUAACUCAUUUUUAAACAAACUUUAUGAAGAACGUUGGAGCAAAUUCGGAUAUUCAUUUGGUGCUUUUUGAUGAAGAAAACAGGGCAGUUGGUUUUCACUCGAAAUCAGGAGGUCUCUGGUUUUUCUUGUAUUUCAGAGUGUAUCGGUGGAGUUAGAAUCUCUAUUUAGUAUGGUUGGAAAGCUUAUUCAAUUUACUACAAUUUUCAUGAAGAAAUUGUAAACCAAAAACGACUAAAUAUCAGCUAAAUUGUAGGGACAAGUUAAAGAGGUCGUGUGCGCGCGAUUCUGGAAGUGGUUCUGUUUUGAGGGUUAUAUGUGUUUAUGCACGGGGAAUCAGAUUUAUAUGUCUUCAGGCCGAGAAGAAUUAAAUCGAGCUUAUAGACCAAGGAUCUAGCCCAAGACUGUAGAGAUCGACUUCCCGAUGCCUGAUAGACUGCCUUAGUCUGUGGAAGCUUCAUUAUCGAUUGCCAGUACGUGUUUUGGGUUGGGCAUAGAGUCUGUUGUGUUGUGGUGUAUAUACACCCUUGUAUGUUAUAGAUACUCCACAGUUUGUAUAAGCUUUAGGAGCUGUAGUUGUGUAAAUUUUGUUGGUUAUAUUUUUUUGAUUAAGGUGUUUUUAGGUUUACUCGUGAAAUCGGUAAAUUUUGAGGUACACUUCAUGUAUGUGUUUGACUAGCCUAGGAUCCGCUGUGUUUUGUGGCAUGUACAAUAGUUUAUAUACUAGAUUGGCAAGUUCAUCACAUGAAAGUUUUAAGCAGAGUCGACAGAUACAGGUACAGUAAAGCGUUGUUCGUCGGCUUCACACCAUCUUUCGGUCUAAGGUAGCAGGUAGUCCGGGAGGGGGUGUGACAAAUAUAGAUCUCUUGGCCAUCAUAUAUUUAAGGUGAGCAACCUUUCGACGCCUAAACAUCACAUUUGUUCUCCUUUCGGCAUGCAAAUGGUAAAGAUAAAUCAAGCGACAUACAUUUAGGCUUCCUUAUUUAUAAUCAUCAUAUUGGCUCUCUA